rnacentral:rRNA from 1 species
GGAAUCUUCCACAAUGGGCGAAAGCCUGAUGGAGCAACGCCGCGUGUGUGAUGAAGGGUUUCGGCUCGUAAAACACUGUUGUAAGAGAAGAAUGACAUUGAGAGUAACUGUUCAAUGAGUGACGGUAUCUUACCAGAAAGGAACGGCUAAAUACGUGCCAG